AUUGAACGCUGGCGGCAUGCUUUACACAUGCAAGUCGAACGGCAGCGCGGGCUUCGGCCUGGCGGCGAGUGGCGAACGGGUGAGUAAUGCAUCGGAACGUGCCCAGUAGUGGGGGAUAGCCCGUCGAAAGCCGGAUUAAUACCGCAUACGACCUGAGGGUGAAAGCGGGGGACCGAAAGGCCUCGCGCUAUUGGAGCGGCCGAUGUCGGAUUAGCUAGUUGGUGGGGUAAAGGCUUACCAAGGCGACGAUCCGUAGCUGGUCUGAGAGGACGACCAGCCACACGGGGACUGAGACACGGCCCAGACUCCUACGGGAGGCAGCAGUGGGGAAUGUUGGACAAUGGGGGCAAACCUGAUCCAGCCAUGCCGCGUGCGGGAAGAAGGCCUUCGGGUUGUAAACCGCUUUUGUUCGGGAAGAAAUCCUCUGGGCUAAUACCCCGGGGGGAUGACGGUACCGGAAGAAUAAGCACCGGCUAACUACGUG
rnacentral:rRNA from 1 species